AAUUGUUUUGGAGAUCCUUCAGUGACAAGUUUAGAAGCAGUCUUCAAAAGUUCUUAACGGAAGAAAAAUGUCUCCUGCCAAUCGUUAAUCUUGGCGUUGCUUCAUUAUAGCCAACUCCGAUUUAUAGUAUUAUGUUUUUCAAUCAAAAAUUUCCUUUUCCCAAUUCUUUUUUAAACUACCGUUAGAAGUUCAGAUGAUCGAAAGGGUUGGAUUAUGUUUAUUUUGUGGGACAUUAAUUUCCAUAACAAUUAAGAUUAGCGAUAACUUUGGUGACAUGUAUCUGCAAAACUUUUAACAUAUAGUAAACUUAGCAAACUAAUUAGUAUCAGUGUACUAAAGAACCAAUUGAAAUUUUCACAGACCCCAAAAUACUCACUUUUUAUAUAAAAAUAAAUAUUUAAAAAAAUAAUAAAGUAUACAUAUAAAAUUAAUAAACGGGUUGCAAAGUGUCAGUAACACAUGAUUCAGAGAACUCCUUCAUUUGAUUGUUUGUAGAAAAUAGAUAUUGGCUGAUUUAAAAAUUAAAAAUAAAUU
rnacentral:lncRNA from 1 species